GCUAAUUCGAUGUAAUGGCGAGGAAUGAGAGCGACACGGGGGAGGGGGGGGUCUAACGGCUGGGUUCUCGGUCUCCAGGAUGAGUGUUGUGAUUUCAGACGGAUCCCACGCGACAGAAUCCCGGGCCACCGUGCGGCCCUUUGAAAUCGCGGCUGUGUCACGUGCUCACCGAUGGAGGCGCAGUGAUUGACGGCUGCUCUCGUAUUACAAGCCACCCUUCUUCACAAUGAGUCCCGUCGACCGCACCUGGGGGUGGGGGGUGGGGAGUGGAAUUUAAAAAAUCCGCCUCGGAUCGCUCGGUGGGAUUCGACCGGAGCGUCGGGCUGUCCCUACGCUGACCCGAAACUCCGAUGUGGCACAUUCGCUGCCGUACGGAUGCGAUCACCACACGCGGCUCACCGAAGAGUCUUGGGGAAGCUGCUCUCAUAUCGCCAGACUCCUCGAAGCGGCGAGCUCGAGAUGUCUGGCCACGUGAUCCCUGUGACGGGGCCCCACCAGCAAGCGCCUUUUAAAAGCGGCAGCGCGGUGCGCUGGUGCAGGAACUCAACCCCCUGGUGACGACGCCAGAGGCUCGUGGCAUUGUCCGACCGGCAGUGAACGUGCUGGCGUGCUGCGACAAGCAUUCAUUGUCUGCUGUGGUAGCGUCUUUCGCUUGCGUUUACAAUCAGCGGUGGGAGUAUUUUUUUUUUAAAAAAGAAUUAUUAUAAAACAUUUUAACGAUAAGGAUUUGCAUUUACAGGGUGCUUAUGAAUGCUUCGGAGACUCAAAGCUCCUGACAUCAUCACAUCUCAACCAUCCCCAUGCCAUGCUUGCAGUCUAGCCAAGGAUUACCCCCCCGUGGCAGCUAUAAGGCACAAGGGGAAUGCAGCAACAGUGGCCUGCAAGUGGUAAAACUAAAAAAAAACUAUAAACUAUUUCCCCGUUUAAAAAAAAGAUAUAGAAUGUUGGAACUUGAGAUUGGUUGACGAUUCCUGCAGUGGAACGUUGUGCAACUGAAUUUGUCCACUUGUCCGCCUCUUCCCAUAAAGUUCCGAUGGUUUUUGUUUUUGUUUCCCCCGCAGUCUGUAGACGCUUUUUUGAUCUCUAGAUCUGGUAACAGUGUCCCACACUUUUUUUUUCUCACGUUGCCUCCUCCUGGGAGCGCGACAGCCGAGUGCCUCGGCUUCGCUGGAGGGGCCACGCAGAGGCGCAGUCGCUAACACAGAGGGCGUGGCCGCAUCCCACGCGGACGUCUUUAAAGGCAGGAGGAGGUUUGGUUGGCAGCUGUUGUCUGCAGAAGUAAACAAGCUGCUUGGUGGUCGUGGUGGUGGUGGCGAUGCUGCUGCUGCUGCUGCGUUGGCAGUGGAGCACCAGAACGGUUAACAAAAAAAAGUCGACAUUUAUUAACGACACUUAGCGCAACGUUUCGGGCAAUGUCCCUUCUUCACAGCGCAUAGAGAGGCGGAGUGAAAGUGCCGUCAUGUUUGGUUGACAUCGUGAUUUCAGGUCGAUCCGAUGCGCGAUUUUUUUUAUCCAGGAUUGUGCGAAAUUUCACAUCGCAUCGAAGCUCGAUUUUCUGAUCUCGUUUGCAUUCGUUUGAAAAUGGGAAUCACGUCCUUUAGUGCGUAGCCAGGGAUGUACCCAGAUACCCAGUUAUGUACAGCGCCUGGGUGAGAAGAUAACCUCCCCGUCAUGCGGAGUGAAACGUCGGACAUCGUGCCGAAUAAAACCACUCGCUUACGACCCAAAACAUCAAAAACAAAACACCAAUCCGGAGCCGGCGCUGCUCAAUUUUAUUUCCCUCUCCCUUCUGCCGAAACACUACGCGCAUUUAUAUUCUCCGUGCUCUCGCAAACACCCUUAACAGCCACCCGGCACAAUACAUCACGUACCUUUGACAUUGAUACCCCAGGUAUUCUUUGAAGCUCGAACCACCACCACCACCACCAACCAGCCAACCACUACAUUUAAUGCUUUUUUUCCCAUUACGCACAAACAAUAUGCUGCGCCGGGUCACGAUGCCCUCCUCCCUCUUCUUUUAAUGGGGCGUUCUGGGUACUGAUGACCCAUGCUGCUGCUGCUGUACGCACAGUGAAGAGCACCGAAUGUUCGCUGCUUUUACUCCCUCGCUCUUUAAACGCCUCGCAUGUUUGAUAGCGGCCUCUCAAAGGCUGCUAACGACGGAGUUUAAAAAUGGGCAAUUGCUCUCUCUCUCGCUCGCUCUCUCUCUCUCUGCGUGUGUGGCGGGGCGGCUGGUGGAGUGGGGAAGUUUUCUCCUUCACUGGCGCUGGUGGUGGCGGCGUGGAUAGUUCGUAGCUCGGUCUCAUGCUUCGCGCUGUUUGGCUGUGGGGUGGUUCAGUCUGUGGGUGGAGGGGCUCAGAAUAAGGGCUCCGAGUAUGUAUGCAUUUACGCAGAGCUUCUUCCGCACCGUACGUAGCCAACCGCGAUAAUUUGAGGUGCGGAGUUGAAGUGGUCCCGACGGAAUCGUCUGCCAACUCACGAGGGCGGUGUGCCCGAUGAAGAAAUUAAUAACUUCAAUGCGCGUCAUCGCAAGAAGCAAGAGUCAGAGAUGUGGCGAGAUAAGAAAAAUGUGGGACGGGGCGGGGGAGAGAUGCAGGCACCAGUAGAGAUGAGGGCGAUUCAUUUGCACGUUAUGCUUAUCGCAGUGUUGCGUUACUUACGAUUUGCAUAUAUAGCUGAUAUUUGACGCACCCACAUCUUCCCCCUUGAGCUGCUUGAGGCCCUGGCGUGUGUUUUUUUUGCUUGGGGUUUGCCUUGGGCCCAGUGCUGCCACUGGGGCUGCUCCACAGACUCACAACGGCAAUGUCAGGGAACCGUCGAGAUCCCGGGGGUUUAAUCUGGGCAGCCACCCGUGAUGAAACCAGAUUCUGGAGCGACGCGAGUUGAUGGUCUUACCCGGGUCACACGCGCGCACACACACACACACAAGUUCACACUUAAAGUGCCUUCAUUUUGUUCAUAUGUCUGACAUACAGUGAACCAUUUAAAUCAAGUACUGUAUAGAAACUCAGUCUGUGUUAGUUUAACACGUAGGCUUUCGCGACCAAUAUUAUUAAUGAGAAUAGGUUUUCCCAUUUUUUUUCUGGCAACAAACAGGUGUUACGAUCUUAAGAUCUUCACGUACAUUAUUUUGGUACUGGCAAAGGAGGUUCCAUAAUAUUGUUCAUAAUAAAGGUUUUUGGGUUAGGGUUCAGUGUUGACAUCACCAUGCUGCUCUAUUUAAGACCGGAAUCAGGUG